rnacentral:misc_RNA from 1 species
GCCUAACAACGUCGAUGCUCUAUAAGAAGUUAACGGUAUCAAUAUCAUCAGACCAUUUUCGCGACAGAAGGUAAUGUCUUCAGAAGUGAUGGAGAAGGUCGUCGUACAGUGUGAUUGAGCAAAAUCAUGAAUGUUAAAAGAGUCAAUGCUCCUGCUUGAUGAGCAGCUCCUAGAGAAACUGGGACAUAGGAAAGAAGAGUAGAUAUGCCCAGUGUGACCUGCAGAGCAGCCAUACCCAUAGUGCUUCCAAUUAAAUGUCUUACUGCAGGAUGCAUAUCCAGCUUUCUGGCUGACAACCAUAAUCCGCCUAUUGCAGCUAAAGUAGCAGUGGCAAGAAUACGAUGAUCGAGCUGAACUGUUGAAGUAUUCUCAAAGAAGUUGCGGAUAAGAGGUUUCAUACUAAAGAUAUCAUCUGGAAUCCAUGUGUCUCCCAUCUUUGGAAAAGUAUUGAAUGCCCGGCCAGCGUCAUUUCCAGCAACAAAAGCUCCAGAGAUCGCAGUAAUUCCAACAAGGAUACCCACAGGAAGUGCAAGCCGCUUAACUUUUGCAGCCCCGCGAACACAGGCAAGUGAUUCCGCAGGAGGUUCAGGCAUAACAACAGAAAGAGCCGUCCAGAAGAGUGGUUUAGAGGAGCCUGCAUCUGAGUAUGUUGAACCAAGAGUAAGCCCCUACCGUCUUGCAGCUCAUCUUACCUCUGC